ensembl:lncRNA
CUCAGUGGUUCUGCUUCGCAAGCACAAGGUCCCGAGUUCAAUACCUGAUACAAAAAAAAAAAAAAAAUUAGUAGAGUUUUGAGUAAAGGAAACUGCCCUCUAUAAUGUGUGUGGCCCUCAUCCAACCAGCUGACCGCCUUACUAGAACAAAUGCUGUCAUUCCUCAAGGAAGAAGGAAUUCGCCCACCUUCAGACCCCAUCAGAAGCACUGGCUCUUUCUGAUUCCUCAUUGGACUGACUUCAUAUUUGAACCAUAACUUUCUCCCAAGUCUCCAGCCUGCUGACCCACCCUAUCAAAUUUUGGACUCACAAAGCCUCUUCAGUUGUAUGAGCCAAUUCCUCAAAAAUCUCCUAAUUAAUUAAAUUCUACUGUUUCUGUUUCUCUUGAGAAUCUUGUCUAAUGCAACAUAUAUUAUUUCAUUUAAAUGUUACAAGGAUCAGAGGUAGUUGCUAUCAUUUUUUCCCAAACGAGUGAAGAUAUUGGUGCUUAUAGAUUCUAAAUAACUUGUUAGAGGUCAGUUGGAUGAUUAGAUAUGUUUCUAGAUCCCGGUGGUUAUGUCUAAUAUUCCAUCUGCCCUUCUCCCCUUUGUUCAUCCAGCUGUUCAUUCAUUCAGCAAAUAUUUAUCACAUUACUUCCAUAUACCAAGUACUUGACUAGAGCUGACAAUAUAAACUCAAAUAUUGAAUGAUCCUUGUUUUAAUGUUUGAGUUGCUAUAUCAAAAGGCCAUAAAAUAGGUGGUUUAGAAAAAACAUAAUUUUUUCACUGUUCUAGAGGGCAAGAAAGUCCAAGAUCAAAGCACCAGCUGAUUUGGUUUCUGUCGAGGAGCAGCCUUCACGCUCACAGAUGACACUUCUCACUGUGUCCUCACCUGGUGAAAAAAGAGGGAGAAAAACCUGGAAUCUAAAACCAGAGAAGAGGUGAGCAACCCAGAACCCAGUGACAUUUAACUGGUGAGCCACUUUUAGAAGCUGGCUACCUAAUAACAAAAGCAUUGAAUGGUGGGUAUCCUAGCAAACAUUUCAUAAACAGAAAGUAAAAGCAUGAAUACUGAGCCAAUAAUGAUAUUGAAAUUAUGAAUUUUUUGAAAUUAAUGACACUAUUAAGGGAAUGAACAAGGUAAAUUACAGAG